rnacentral:rRNA from 1 species
UACGGGGGGGAGCAAGCGUUGUUCGGAUUUACUGGGCGUAAAGGGCGCGUAGGCGGUCAGCACAAGUCAGUUGUGAAAUCUCCGGGCUUAACUCGGAAAGGUCAACUGAUACUGUGCGACUAGAGUGCGGUAGGGGAGAUCGGAAUUCCUGGUGUAGCGGUGAAAUGCGCAGAUAUCAGGAGGAACACCGGUGGCGAAGGCGGAUCUCUGGGCCGUAACUGACGCUGAGGAGCGAAAGCAUGGGGAGCGAACAGG